rnacentral:rRNA from 1 species
ACCAAUAUGGAAUGGCGGUCUUCACUAAUUAGAGAAACUCGCUUCAUAAUCGUAAACACCCGAUAAAUUUAACUUUAUUCCAGUUUAUAUACCGCCGUUCAGCGUUUAAUAUAAAUAUAACUCUAAAAAUAUAAAUAUAAAAAAUCAGGUCAAGGUGUAGCCUAUAAUAAAGAAGAAGUAAGUUACAUUAAAAAUAAUUUAAGGAAAAGAUAUAAAAACAAACAUGAAAAAGAAUUUAUUUGUAAGUAUUAAUCAAAAAUUAGUCUAGAAAUAUAUAUUGAAGAUGC